GAGAUGUAUUAACGGUUCCUCAGUUGUUCGCGGGUCAUUUGGAAGCAUCGUUUAUUGAGCGUCUGGACGUCUUUACUUUACACACACACUGUUGAUGUGAUGGACAGUGAAUCUGAAUUCUGCCCAGCAACAUAUUCGCGCCACAGUCGAUAAAGGAAGGGGGAAAAAAAGUUGCCAGUCUACGAAGGGUUAGGAUGGAGACUGCUUCUUUGCUGCUGUCAAAUAUCAUGUGGAAGAUCAGAAAACGUCAACAGGAGGUGGGAGAGAAGGCAAUGCAGAGAUGAAGGACAUCAUACCACAAUAAUAGUUGUGUGUAUAAGCCUGAUCAACAAGUGAAAAGAGUCAGAUAAGAGGAAAGAGUUUGAAAACUGAUUUGAUGACCACUGCUGAAUUGGCCUGCUAAGAGGAAGAGGCACUAAUGAUUCCAGAAGAGGAAGCCAAAGAAGAAGACCUACGCAGACUUUGAAAUGGAUCUCUCAAUUGCCAUGAUGACCAAGAUAUUCAACGGGAAAAUGUGGAAAGCUGCCAUAUUCCCAGUCAUUACUUUGCCAAAUCAUCUGUGCACCACCACUGAGGGACCCUACUUUCCUGAGU